AUCAGAAGUUGAACGCAAAGGCGGCGUCGCGCGCACCGGAGACCCGGCAGUUUUCCGCGUAACCGCUCGGAGUUUCCCCGCGAGCGCAAGAGGAACCCGGUAUCUUGCGCAGAAUGAAUGGUUAUUAAGGCGCCAGAGAGAGAGAGAGAGAGCGAGAAAGGGGCGAUGUUGAGAGUCUGGUUCUUCUGGUGACUUCACAAGGACGGAUAAAGGUCAGGACGUCAAGAUGACAGUAUUUUGUCUGCGGCACAUCACGAUGAGAAGAUCUUUCAGUUUGCCGCAAGGUAAUUGCUCUCCUUCAGGGCGGGUGAAGCUGUUUAUUGUAAUUAUGUCAGCGAAAUGAAGAAGCAUGCUUGCGUG